GCAGCGGGGCCUUCAGGCGCGCGGCGGGCGCCAGAGAGCCAGACACAAUAGGGGGGCGUCCCUCAGAGCCCUCCCGCUCCUCCCGCCUCCUGUUCCCGGCACAAAUGGGGCUCCAAAACGCGUUUCUGUACCCUGCGGCGAGAGCCUGCACCGGGGAAGCGCAUCACCGCUGUAAUUGAGCCCUAACAGCCGCAGCUUCAGUCGCCGGGAACAGUUGCUUCAUGUGUCUUUCAGGCUGGGAUUUGCGUCUCCAGAUACGAUCGCUGUAUAUCCUUACGAUCCCCGUGUAACGUGUUUGGUUUUAGUCGUAUCCACGCCAUCAGUGACAUUGAAAGGAAGGAAAAAGCCUAGGUCCUUGAACACCUGGGCCAACCCAUCACCAGAAGGGAGGUGUCUCAUGGCCCUUCCUCACCAAGUCCUUGCCCUUGUUUCCAUCCCGAUUCUUGCUCCUCAGGAGUUAAUUCAAGCUGAUAAUCCAGCAAGAAACUGGUUACUCAAUGGUCAGAUUUCCCCCCUUCAUUCCAUCUAAAUAUUGCUCCCUGUGCUUUCCAUGUAUCCCUGCAUUUUCUGUAGCUUUGUGCAUUUUCAAUGCUUUGUCAUUUUGUAUCAGGUAUUUGCUUUACAAAUCACCUCGUUUUGCAUAACAGGUUAUGGAACAUGUAGUAAAUCACCCAUCUCAAUUAUUUCAGUUGUACAAAUGAAGAAGAAAACAAAAUCUUUAAAUAUUGAAAGUCCUUUUCACUGUUCACCAAAAAGAUUUUGGUAAUACCAUUGUAUUUUCUUAUUUCCACUGUAUUUACAAGAUUUACUUCUCCAAGCCCCAUACAUGGGGGUAGAGAUGACCUUUUUUUUCCCCCCAAGCAAAAUGCUAUUUUUCUGUCAACAUCUAAAGCACUUGAGGCUUUUUGACCACAAAAUAUAUUGGUUUAAAUUAAUACAGAAUUGUGUCAUCCAUUCCUAUUAAUUUCUCCUUUUUCCUCACAUUGUCAUUGCAAUCCUCCAUAAGUUCUGGUCGCAGUUUAGGCAAAUUUUCCAGCCAGUCUCUGAUAGAGUUUGUAUUUAAAACCUUGGGAGAUGUUUAUUCUUCAUGGAAAAAUGAAAUAUGAAGUAGCAAAUGUUCCCAGUCUCAAAAAUAAAGGAAGUUGAAAUGCUC